rnacentral:rRNA from 1 species
UACGGGGGGAGCAAGCGUUGUUCGGAUUUACUGGGCGUAAAGGGCGCGUAGGCGGCCUGUGCAAGUCAGUUGUGAAAUCUCCGAGCUUAACUCGGAACGGUCAACUGAUACUGCUCGGCUACGAGUGCGGAAGGGGCAACUGGAAUUCUUGGUGUAGCGGUGAAAUGCGUAGAUAUCAAGAGGAACACCUGCGGCGAAGGCGGGUUGCUGGGCCGACACUGACGCUGAGGAGCGAAAGCGUGGGGAGCGAACUGG